rfam:Ciona savignyi cont_10663, whole genome shotgun sequence.
GCUGCGAUGGCCGAGUGGUUAAGGCGUUGGACUCGAAAUCACAAUGGGAUAUUCCCGCGCAGUUUCGAAUCCUGUUCGCAGCG